rnacentral:rRNA from 1 species
UUGAACGCUGGCGGCAUGCCUAACACAUGCAAGUCGAACGGCAGCACAGCAGUAGCAAUACUGUGGGUGGCGAGUGGCGGACGGGUGAGGAAUACGUCGGAAUCUGCCCAGUCGUGGGGGAUAACUAGCCGAAAGGUUAGCUAAUACCGCAUAUGACCGAGAGGUGAAAGCGGGGACCGCAAGGCCUCGCGCGAUUGGAUGAGCCGACGUCGGAUUAGCUAGUUGGCGGGGUAAAGGCCCACCAAGGCGACGAUCCGUAGCUGGUCUGAGAGGAUGAUCAGCCACACUGGAACUGAGACACGGUCCAGACUCCUACGGGAGGCAGCAGUGGGGAAUAUUGGACAAUGGGCGCAAGCCUGAUCCAGCAAUGCCGCGUGUGUGAAGAAGGCCUUCGGGUUGUAAAGCACUUUUAUCAGGAACGAAAAGCGUUGGAUUAAUACUCUGACGUGCUGACGGUACCUGAGGAAUAAGCACCGGCUAACUUCGUG